CGCCUUUGACAAAGGAUUUUGGUCAAAAUAAGAAUGAACGUUAAUUAAAUCAUUUCCUAUUAUAUGUUUUACCGUAAGAAAUUUAUUUUUGGAAAGGUAUUAUUAUAAUAUUCACUAAUGGCACGCGAGUUAAGACAACUCUUUGAAUUUAACAAUACAAGCUGCCAAGUGGCUACCUUUUCCUUAUAUACGCCCACACUUCGAAAUUUUGUUUCCAAACAAUCUGAACUUCUAAUAUUGGCUUCAUCUAGAUUGUUACUAAAUCUCGUGAUUUUAAUGACUUCUUGUUCUGAUUCUAAAAAUGACAUCGUAUAUUGGGUUUCUUUUAUCAUAAAGAGCACUCGCCCUUCCGAAACCGCAAGACACAUGACAACAUGCUUGCCUACAUAUUAUAUAUUUUAUAUUAUAAAGUGUAUAAUAUAUUAUUACUGACAGUACAAACUAGAAACUGUGUGGGGUUCAAUGCACGAAGCCGUAGGCUGGACUGACGCUAGCCAAGGGCCAAUAAAGCGCGCAAUUAUUAGCCAUUCCGCAG